AGCAGCCGCGGUAAUUCCAGCUCCAAUAGCGUAUAUUAAAGUUGUUGCAGUUAAAAAGCUCGUAGUUGAAUUUCGGGAUCAGACUGUCGGUCGUGCCUCGGUACGCACUGGCAUUAUUGGUUCCUACCUUCUGAAGAACCGCGAUGUCAUUAAUUUGGUGUCGCGGGGAAUCAGGACUGUUACUUUGAAAAAAUUAGAGUGUUUAAAGCAGGCGCACGCUUGAAUACAUUAGCAUGGAAUAAUGAAAUAGGACGUUUGAUUCUAUUUUGUUGGUUUCUAGGAUCGACGUAAUGAUUAAUAGGGAUAGUUGGGGGCAUUAGUAUUCAAUUGUCAGAGGUGAAAUUCUUGGAUUUAUUGAAGACUAACUACUGCGAAAGCAUUUGCCAAGGAUGUUUUCAUUAAUCAAGAACGAAAGUUAGGGGAUCGAAGACGAUCAGAUACCGUCGUAGUCUUAACCAUAAACUAUGCCGACUAGGGAUCGGAUGAUGUUAAUUUUUUAAUGACUCAUUCGGCGCCUUACG
rnacentral:rRNA from 1 species